UUCAUGCGUAGGUUGUCGCGUUAUCCUAAAAUUCACCAUUCCAUUAAGAAUUUGACUGCUCCGAGCUCAAGUCCGUGUAGAAACAUUAUCAAAUUUGCUGUCUCAAAGUAAAAAAAAUGUUUUAUCUAAAUUCAAACGUCCUAAUCAUUUUUGUACAUAUUAUAACAGCUAAUUUCAUACUGCACUCUCGAGCUAGUCAUCACUCGUACUCAUUUCACUUGAAACAUUAUAGAGUCAAAAGUCCUGGAGAAUGUGAUCAGAGCGCUCACCAUUCCCACCACGUGGACCUUGGUAGCAAUGGGGGUUGCGAGACACUCAAUUUACAAGGGGACCGGUGCGUAGAAAUUCUAAGAAGUGAUUGCAGAUAUGAAUUUUACUCUGGGGAUCAAUGUCGUGGAAAUAUUAUUUCUCCCAAUCGUGGCGAUUUUGUGGGAUCCGUGAUGGUCAAAACAUGUCAUCCAUCAGCCUUGUCAUCUGACGACAAUGGGUUCAGACUAGGCUGGAGAGGAAAGAAGAAAAAUGGCAAAUUUUGGCCAUUUCCGCAUCAUAUAAAUUCCAUACAAAAAGAACAUCGUAAAAACCAUCACCAUGAUAAGGAGGAGUCGCUCUGGUAUUGGAAUAGAUAACUCAAGGAAGAGUUCGCGUGACUUAAACUGUUGAAUUGGCAUAUAUUUUAUUGACAACCGGUAUUUUAAAAUGUAAAUAUCUAUAUACGUGCAUACUACACAAAUGUUUUAUUUUGCGUUGCUUUAGUUUAUGACGGUUUACAAUAAAAUACAAAAUAUCAAUAAUUGACAUUAGAUAAUUCAUUGGUGUCUUUUAUCCAACCUCAGGCUUUUUAAAAUAUUUUUGAAAUUAUUUCUGAAGCCAGGAAAUGUUUAACAAAAAAUAUUGAGUUUGAUAUUAUAGUUUAUGGCUUAUAAUUAUGACUGCAAUUCUAAGAUUAUGAGAUUUGCAGACCUUCUUCGGCUUCCUAAAGUCCUUGAGUUAAUAUGAAUAGUCGGGUUUUUCAAAGCUGAAGGUUUCUAAAAUUCUAACAGGCAUUAGUUCAUUUAUUAUUCAUUUCAACCUAACGGUGGAAAGUUGGAAAAUUUUGGGGUACGAGUGAACCAGACUGACUUGAUUUUUAAACACCAAAAGAAAGGUAAACCGCAAAUGGAAUACUUUUUACUUCUGGAAUUGUGUAUUUCAUACAAUAAAUACGUAUAAUUUAAGCUGGAGCCAUACUCACCACACAC